GACAACCUGUCUCUACUCAGUAUCUAGUGUCACUGCUCACGGACAACUAAAGAAUACUAAAAAUAAUAGUCUGAAAGAAAAUACAACUGGAGUCUGUUUGAUGCAAAUAUAACAAACUAAAAAAGAUAGAGGAGACUCGGGGCCCGCGAAUGCCAGUGAACUACCUUGGAGCCUCUGGACUGAAGGAUCACUCCCGGUCUAAAGCUGCGGUCCGUAAACUGGGUCCUGAC
rnacentral:lncRNA from 1 species